UAAGAGGUCUCGCCUGCCCCGUGACUAAUAGUUUAACGGCCGCGGUAUUUUGACCGUGCAAAGGUAGCGUAAUCAUUUGUCUGUUAAAUGAAGACCUGUAUGAAUGGCAUAACGAGGGCUUAACUGUCUCCUUUCCCCGGUCAAUGAAAUUGAUCUCCCCGUGCAGAAGCGGGGAUACUAACAUAAGACGAGAAGACCCUAUGGAGCUUUAGACACUGGGAUAGAUCAUAUGAACAACCGCCUUAAGCAAAUAAUAGUAUUGAAUCUCUAUUCCCCUGUCUUUGGUUGGGGCGACCCUGGGGAAAAAAGAAACCCCCACGUGGACUGGGAACACAUUAUUCCUACAAUUAUGAGCCACACCUCUAAAACGCAGAAUUUCUGACCAACCUGAUCCGGCUACGCCGAUUAACGGACCAAGUUACCCUAGGGAUAACAGCGCAAUCCUUUUCGAGAGCUCCUAUCGACAAAAGGGUUUACGACCUCGAUGUUGGAUCAAGACAUCCUAAUGGUGCAACCGCUAUUAAGGGUUCGUUUGUUCAACG
rnacentral:rRNA from 1 species